UACGUAGGGGGCAAACGUUAUCCGGAGUUACUGGGCGUAAAGGGCGUGUAGGCGGUUUGUUAAGUUUGGCGUGAAAGCUCUCGGCUAAACCGGGAGAGGUCGUUGGAUACUGGCAAACUAGAGGACGGUAGAGGCGUGUGGAAUUCCGGGUGUAGUGGUGAAAUGCGUAGAGAUCCGGAGGAACACCAGUGGCGAAGGCGACACGCUGGGCCGUACCUGACGCUAAAGCGCGACAGCAUGGGGAGCAAACGGG
rnacentral:rRNA from 1 species